rnacentral:rRNA from 1 species
AGUGAACGCUGGCGGUAGGCCUAACACAUGCAAGUCGAACGGCAGCACAGUAAGAGCUUGCUCUUACGGGUGGCGAGUGGCGGACGGGUGAGGAAUACAUCGGAAUCUACUUUUUCGUGGGGGAUAACGUAGGGAAACUUACGCUAAUACCGCAUACGACCUACGGGUGAAAGCAGGGGAUCUUCGGACCUUGCGCGAUUGAAUGAGCCGAUGUCGGAUUAGCUAGUUGGCGGGGUAAAGGCCCACCAAGGCGACGAUCCGUAGCCGGUCUGAGAGGAUGAUCAGCCACACUGGAACUGAGACACGGUCCAGACUCCUACGGGAGGCAGCAGUGGGGAAUAUUGGACAAUGGGCGCAAGCCUGAUCCAGCCAUACCGCGUGGGUGAAGAAGGCCUUCGGGUUGUAAAGCCCUUUUGUUGGGAAAGAAAAGCAGCAGGUUAAUACCCCGCUGUUCUGACGGUACCCGAAGAAUAAGCACCGGCUAACUUCGU